GAGAAAUACAGUGGACAGAAUGUUGGUCUGGGAGUCAGAAGAUUCUAGGCUUAAAUUCUGUCUCUAACACAGUCUAUGUGUCAUCCUGGAUAAGUCACUCGGAUCAGAGGUGUCCAAAAGUGCAUGGCAUUCUAUCCUCAUUCCCUACCAGUGGAGCUGGAAUUAGAUUAAAAUGUAAUUGUGAAGGGCAUCUAGGUGGCUUAAUGGAUAGAAAACCAGACCUGGAGAUGGGAGAUCUGGAGUCAGAUACUGCAGGACCCUGAGAAAGUCCCUUUUUGCCAAUCGCCAAGCCCUUAUUGCUCUUCUGCCUUGGAACCCCUUCUUGAUAUGGAUUCUCAGAUAGAAGGUGCUGGGAAGUCAGGAGUGUUGGCCAUGCUACGGGUCCUGGGUCUGAACUCUGGCAUCUAUUCUGCCUCCCAGAACCAACUGUGCUGCUCCCUUACUCCAGUUUCAACUGAACUUGCACAGAAACCAGAUUUCCUAGAUAUGGCUCUUCAGGGUGAAAAAAAAAGAUAAUGAGACAAAAGAAAAUAAGUUUUGUCUAAACUUCUCCUCGUGAAAUGAAUCUGGGUACCUGGCUGAACCUGACCAUAUUUUGAAGAAAUAAAGAA
rnacentral:lncRNA from 1 species